CCUCCGCUAAUGGGCGCGAUAGUCGGGUUCUUAAAGGCUCCCGGCUUCCUGUGAGGAUCCGCGUUGAGGACGCUUAGUGUAUUUUCCCAGGGGGCGUCUAGAGUUGUUCAGGGCUGGUUGCGUGCGACCUUGGGCAGGCAGAUUGGCUGUUCGCCGGGGCCGGGAGGGACUUUCAGGGUAGACCGGUAGCGGGACGGUGAGAAAGGAGUUAACACGGUUUGACCCGCCGUGCUCCAGAGUGUGCUCCUGGCUUCGCCGCUCCGCGUACUGGGGCCCCAGAGCUAAGGCAGGUGAGGAGGGUCGCGCAGCACUGUACCGUCAGGCAGUCGGCCGUGGGGACCCGCGGAGCCUGCAGUAGUCCAAAGGAGCAGGCCUUGGGUUCGUGCUGUAACGACCCGCUGGUGGUUUAUUGGUGACUUAGAAGGUGCGGCCACUGCGCAGGCAGAAUUCAAUCGGUAGGCGCUGCAGACUGCGGCUAGAACGAGGAGCGGCCCGAAGGGGAGGAGGUGUUGAGGCGGCGACAGUGCAGCUGCGCUUCUCCCGGAAGGCCAUGCGGGGCUGGGGAGCCACAGGUGCAAAGGCUUCUGGGCCUGUUGGGCGACUGGAAAGGUUGUCAGGGACGUGGAGGAUGUGCCAGGGGCUGCGCGGAAUCUUGACCCUAGAAGGCUGCUAGAAAGUCGGUGGGGAGCUCUGGGCCUUUUGACAAAGACAGGAGGGUGUGGGUGUGAAGCCUCCGGUCCAGGUAGGAUGCUGUGGGUUUUGUUAACCCUGUCGUCUCGCUCCACCCCUCUGUGCCUGGCCAGCAGUCGUGAUUGUUUGUAGAAGGAUCUGAGGUGCACUCAGCGCCUGUCUUUAUGGGAACAGGAUCGCAGCCGCGAGGAAGAGGAGAAGGGAUGGAUUACAUGUUACGGGGAAGGACAAGAAGAGUCCAGUAUGCAGUUUGGUGAUCUGGGAAGUUUGGAGGGGUAGGGUAAAGUCUUCAGUAGGUGUUUCAGCCUGUGCCUGCAUACUACUUUUCAGAGGCUGUCACUCUGUCCCCGGUCCAGGAGUGAGUGGCUUUUUAAACCUUUAACCUGGACUGAGGAGUGUUCAAAGAGUAGGAGAAAGAAUACCUAGGAGGAAAAACUAGCUUCUCCAGGCCAUUCCACUGAGACACCAACUCAUUCCUGGAGGUGGGAUUGGUAAGCUCCAUCAGUCCGGUCACACGUACCGGCAACUGGACUUCGAUUUGUUGUGAGGGGCAUUUAGAAUAAGUUCAGUUCCCUGCAUUAUUGUAACAUCUGUCAUGAACAGAUAUGAGGAAUAAGUAGAUCCGAAGGGCAGUCCCUUGGGGCCUUCAGCCUGUUUCUGCUGUAGGGAAGGGGUCCCGGAGAGUAAGUAACUGAUGGGGAUGAGGCCUUUGGUGGUUACGCAGGCGGCAUGUGUAAUUCUCUUGAGGAGUCAAUGGAACCUGUGAUCUGAGAAGCUCCUGGGGUUCCCAGAGCAACACUGACACUAUGGGGGCCUAGCCAUGUGGAAGAGAGGCUGAUGGCUCCUGACUAUGGAAGACACAAGAGGAGGAAGUGCUGUCUGCUGCAGACUCAGAGAUGACCCAAGGAAAGAAGCCCCUACCUGAAUGGCAGAGCAGGUGGGUGGAGCCUAGUCCCUGAGACCAUGGAGGUGACAGCCCCACAUUGCCUUGCCUGGAUCUCAUAUAUGCCAUGAAAUAAACUUCUGUCUUUAAACCACUGUGAU